AGCACAUGCAUGAAAUUCUCUCCAGCCUGUGUGAUGGAAUGAGCUACUUUUAUAUUCAUUACUGAGUUACAGUAGUAAGAUUCCUUGAGAGUACCCAAAUAGCUAAUAGCAGGUUUCAAAAUGGAAAAAGCCUUCAAAAGGAUUUGCAUCCUAGCUUCCCUCUGUAAGAUCCUUCUGCAAGAGAUUUGAGAAUUAGCUGCUGUGCCUGCAGUAUAUUAAAAUCUUUGACAGCCAUCCACUUGGGGAAUCCCUGGUAAAAAAAGAAACAACAGAAAAAUAACCACCUCAUUUUGCUUCAAAAGGUUCACAGUAUCACUUGAAAGUGGAGAAUAAAUCACCAUUCUUGAUAA